AGUAUAAUCUACCCUUGCGGGUGAGGGAAAUACCGCUCCGCGGUGUGAUAUACGCCUCCGGCAUGUGAGAUCGCUG
rnacentral:ncRNA from 2 species